AGUGAACGCUGGCGGUAGGCCUAACACAUGCAAGUCGAACGGCAGCACAGGUGAGCUUGCUCUCUGGGUGGCGAGUGGCGGACGGGUGAGGAAUGCAUCGGAAUCUACUCUGUCGUGGGGGAUAACGUAGGGAAACUUACGCUAAUACCGCAUACGACCUACGGGUGAAAGCAGGGGACCUUCGGGCCUUGCGCGAUUGAAUGAGCCGAUGUAGGAUUAGCUAGUUGGCGGGGUAAAGGCUACCAAGGGGACGAUCCGUAGCUGGUCUGAGAGGAUGAUCAGCCACACUGGAACUGAGACACGGUCCAGACUCCUACGGGAGGCAGCAGUGGGGAAUAUUGGACAAUGGGCGCAAGCCUGAUCCAGCCAUACCGCGUGGGUGAAGAAGGCCUUCGGGUUGUAAAGCCCUUUUGUUGGGAAAGAAAUCCAGCUGGCUAAUACCCGGUUGGGAUGACGGUACCCAAAGAAUAAGCACCGGCUAACUUCGUGCCAGCAGCCGCAGUAA
rnacentral:rRNA from 1 species